rnacentral:rRNA from 1 species
CUAUACAUGACUCUGCGCAUAUCAAUAAGCGGAGGAAAAGAAACUAACAAGGAUUCCCCUAGUAACGGCGAGUGAAGCGGGAAGAGCUCAAAUUUGAAAUCUUAAAGGGUUUCCCUUUACGAAUUGUAGUUUAAAGAAGUGUUUUCUGUUGAGGUUUUGGUAAAAGUUCUUUGGAAUAGGACAUCAUAGAGGGUGAGAAUCCCGUAUUUGACCUUUACUUUCAACUUUGUGAUACACUUUCAGAGAGUCGGAUUGUUUGGGAAUGCAGUCCAAAAUGGGUGGUAAAUUUCAUCUAAAGCUAAAUAUUGGCGAGAGACCGAUAGCGAACAAGUACCGUGAGGGAAAGAUGAAAAGAACUUUGAAAAGAGAGUUAAACAGUACGUGAAAUUGUCAAAAGGGGAAGCGUUUGACACCAGUGUUGUUUUUCUGAAAAUCAAUUAAAGAACUGUUUAUGCUAAGCUGUUUAGACUUUAUCAGCUAACUGUUUAGUUUUGAGCUUUUCUUUAAUGCACUUUUCAGUUAACAAGUCAACAUCAAUUUCUUUUGCUGUAAAAAAGCUUGAGGAAGGUGGCUUGAGAUUCGUCUUAAGUGUUUAUAGCCUCUUGCCUAUGCAGUCGGAGAGAUUGAGGUCUGCAGCGUAGAUCCUUCGGGGCUAAAUGCAUUUGUGCUAAGUUAUAGCAUUUUAUAGACAACUUGUUGACUAUGAUUUGUCUUGUAGCUUACUCGCUUAUGUUAUUUUACCUACGCUUAGGAUGUUGACAGCAGUAUAGACUGU